CCAAAAUAAAAUUCUCUAAAGUUAAAACUUAAAACAUUGUUCUCAAGUAAAACUCAAACUCAAAACACAUUGCUCUCAAUAAAACUAAACAUAAAGCAUUGCUCUUUAAAAAUAAAACUAAGCAUGAAACAUUGCUCUUAAAAAUAAAACUAAACAUGAAAAGAAAAAGAAAAAGAAUAAAAAAAACAAAACAAAGGAAUGUGCUCUGUUUGAAAACAGAGCAUCAACACUCCUCUCUGUUUCUUCUUCCCCGAACCAGCCGAUGGCCUCUUUCCUUCUUCUUCUUUGGACCCGAUCCCAGCCGAGCUCCUCCUUUGGUUCCCACCCCAA
rnacentral:lncRNA from 1 species